rnacentral:lncRNA from 1 species
ACGAUAUCUUAGAGUUGGUUCUGGUCUUUCCCUACGAUGUUGAACAAUUCGAGGAGAAGCAGCUCUUGGAGAAGCAGCCCUUGGAGAAGCUGCCCUUGGAGACACUGGCCUUGGAGAGGCAACCCUUGGAGAAGCAACCCUUGGAGAGGUAAUCCUUUGAGAAGGAACCCUUGGAGAAGCAACUCUCUGAGCAACAAAAGGUGGUGUUCUGGGUUGCUCGGGAGGAGUUGGAGGCCUGAAUACUAAUUUCUGCUCUCUUUCAGCUUCCCCCAAAAUUUUCUCAAUACUGCUCGGCUCUCUAAAGAGGGGAAUGAAUGAAUUAGUCUCUCCAUGCCUUAGUUUUCCUAG